rnacentral:tRNA from 2 species
GUCGGGGUAGCUCAGCCUGGUUGGAGCGCCUGACUCAUAAUCAGGAGGUCGCGGGUUCAAAUCCCGCCCCCGACA